rnacentral:rRNA from 1 species
GAUGAACGCUGGCGGCGUGCCUAAUACAUGCAAGUCGAGCGAACAGACGAGGAGCUUGCUCCUUUGACGUUAGCGGCGGACGGGUGAGUAACACGUGGAUAACCUACCUAUAAGACUGGGAUAACUUCGGGAAACCGGAGCUAAUACCGGAUAACAUGUUGAACCGCAUGGUUCAACAGUGAAAGACGGUCUUGCUGUCACUUAUAGAUGGAUCCGCGCCGCAUUAGUUAGUUGGUAAGGUAACGGCUUACCAAGGCAACGAUGCGUAGCCGACCUGAGAGGAUGAUCGGCAACACUGGAACUGAGACACGGUCCAGACUCCUACGGGAGGCAGCAGUAGGGAAUCUUCCGCAAUGGGCGAAAGCCUGACGGAGCAACGCCGCGUGAGUGAAGAAGGUCUUCGGAUCGUAAAACUCUGUUAUUAGGGAAGAACAAAUGUGUAAGUAACUAUGCACGUCUUGACGGUACCUAAUCAGAAAGCCACGGCUAACUACGUG